CAACCAUUUAGCAGGCUUCUGUCUAUAACAUGAGCUGCUCAGUAUGUGUAGAUAAUCUUUGCUACCACAGUUUUUUUGAAAGAUAUAAUGUUAGCCAAGGAGAUCUGCAAAAGUGUUGCUACUGCUCUCAAUGACAUUGCUGCUCAUAAUUUAGCAGGCACUAUCAACAAAGAUCAGUGGGGAAAAAAGGACUUCUUUCUGCACACGGUCAAUGUGAACUGGGCCAAACAAUCUGUAGCUAAUCUGUAGCUAGCUACAAACCAAAUGGAUAAGACACUGCCGUGAAGCUUUCAUCCAUGUAUACGGGAGUCAGAAGGGCUAGUGGAGAAGGAGUCUCAUUUCUUAUAAACUCCUCGCUUUCCUCUGAUGUUUUCAAAAGGAGAGAGGAUGGGAGGAGAGGACGUGAGGAGUCGAGGAAAUCCUCUAGCAGGUGGCUUGAAAGAUGUAGCUGGGAGAUGGUCCUCAUUGCCAUCCAAUUAGAGUCAAAUUUGAGAAGGAGGCAAGGAAAGUCAGGGAAGCAGGUGAAGGUAACAGUGAAAUGAGGCAGAUGUAUGCUUAGCACCAUAGCACCAAUGCUGCUUCAGGCAGCUGAAGCAGCAGGUUAUCACUGUAACAUCAAUGCAAUGGACAUAAAAAUGCAUAUUUAGUCACCAACCAUAGUCAGGGAAUACACACACUUACAUUCAUCUUGUUCUUAUAGGCAUUUUAGCAG
rnacentral:lncRNA from 1 species